rnacentral:misc_RNA from 1 species
UCCGAGUUGACCCCGGCAGUCUCCUAUGAGUCCCCACCAUCACGUGCUGGCAACAUAGGACGAGGGUUGCGCUCGUUGCGGGACUUAACCCAACAUCUCACGACACGAGCUGACGACAACCAUGCACCACCUGUGCACGGCCCUUACGGACCUUCCAUCUCUGAAAGAUUUCCGUGCAUGUCAAGCCUAGGUAAGGUUCUUCGCGUUGCAUCGAAUUAAGCAACAUGCUCCGCCGCUUGUGCGGGCCCCCGUCAAUUCCUUUGAGUUUUAGCCUUGCGGCCGUACUCCCCAGGCGGGGCGCUUAAUGCGUUAGCUGCGACACGGAGACCGUGGAAUGGUCCCCACAUCUAGUUCCCAACGUUUACGGCAUGGACUAC